CACUUGUUUACAUAUUUUUCUACGACUAUUUUCACACUCCAAUGGCAGAGUUGAAUUCUUAGGACAGUGACUGUAUGACUCUCAAAGCCUAAAUUAUUGGCUUUCUGGUCUUCUACAGAUGAAAUUUAUUGACCCAUAUCUUAGACCAGAAUCAGUUCUAUAGCAGUCUUUUUUUUUUCUGUUUCUUUCUGAGGUUUAUUAAAAGAAAGAAGGCAUAACUAGAUAAAAGACCAGCUACAUUCUGCCCUGUCUAUAACCAAUGCCAACUAGGUUCUCUGAAUAUUUCUCAAGGUUGUUUCUUUCUGCCUUUGAAGCCAUGUAAAUUCCAACCAGAAAAGCAAAGACAUGAUAUGGACCUGGGAGUGAGAAGGAAACAGGGCGUGCACCAUCAACAUCAGCGUUGGUUUCCUGCAAGCACAAAGUCAAGCAAGGUUACCCAUCAAUCCUCCACAGCAGCCAGCUGCCAACUGAUCUCCAAUAAGAAGGUGACCUUGAGUUCACUCUCCCUGAAGCUUGACAGUCUCAUUUUGGACAGGGCAAAUAAUUCCAGUCCCUGUGGGGACCCAGUGAUCAGAAAAUACGUUAUACUCUGA
rnacentral:lncRNA from 1 species